AGCCCCACGUGUCUAGAAAAGGAAAGCAAAGGGUAACUUGGAUAAUAUUUCAUGGCCAGAUCUUCAUGACAGGGAAUAAAUUCUCCCUCUGCCCCCAAGGAAAGAGAAUUAACCUCAAUUAACCCUCCCUGAGGCAGAGGAGAGGCUGCACCCGUGACCAAGCUCUGGACCCUGCCCAGUGUGUUUUAGAGAGAGCAGCAUGAGCCCGGAGAACCAGGAGGAAAUGCCUGAGGGCAGUGCUUAGGAACAUUCCAGGUGAAAACGCCGCAGAAGUUCUGUUGGAAUUCCAGCCUCUCUGUGCUGCAGGCUCUGAGCCCCAGGAGAACUCUGCACUGAGCUGAGGCCCUGGAGAAGCUUCCAGAAUGGAAUGGCAGAGCUGGGAUUGUGGCUGUGCAGUUUGGACAGAAGUGUGUGACACCACAGGGUGAGGGUUUGGUGCUGCUGAUCUCCAGCUGCUGAUCUUCCAGAAGAGAAGUUUGUGCCAGAGCUGAGCGUGAUCAUCUCAGGUUUUGGAAAAGAAAAUUCAGUCUGGCAAGACUUUGCCUUUCUGCUCAAGAAUUCCUUUAAAAAUGUAAAAAAUCCAGCUGUGUCUGAAAUUUCCAGGAGGGAAGAGCACUGACAAAACAUGAGGUUGUGAAAGUUCCAGCUGCAGGCUUGGACACAUCCCCUUUUCUUUGCAAAUAACAUUCCCAGAGGGUUUCUCCUGAAACAAAAUGAAUUCAGACCUUCCAUUCUCUGAGGGUGAGAAGGAAGAAGGGAGAUAUUCCACCUUCACUUUCUUGGAAUAAAUAAAUGUCCAUCACAUGGGGUUUGUUUCCUUUUCCCCUUAAAUAAUUAAUUCCAGUCAAGUGGGGAAAUCCUUUCCUUUUUAAAGUUUGUCUAGAUGGUCAAUAAUUAUCACAUUCCACUUGGCUCUGCUAUCAACAGCUGUGAAUUAUGACAGGCUGGGAAUCUUGAAUUUAGCCUGUGCUAAAUCACUGGGAAAGCUUGUACAAAAACCCAGAUAUUCCCCUUGGAAUUAAAGCUGUGAUGUUCUUGACCUUUACCAGCACUUGAAGGAAACUAUGUGUUCAAGAGCAAGAAGAACUGCAGGAAAAACUAGAUUGUGAUAUUUGUCUUGGGAUUUGUUUUGGAACUAUUCCUCUGCCUGCAGGUGGCUGAGAUUACAAAACCUGGAGGUUUAGGUGAAAAAAACCCAGAUUUAGGAGCGUGGCAGCAGCAGCUUUUAGCUGCUGGAAGUGGGAGGAGGGCUGGGAAGCGCCCACAGCCUGUCCCUGUGGGAUG